CUGCAUUUCCAAAGCUGGACCAGAGACCCAGCUGGGGAAAACCAGCUGAGCUUCCCCACAGCAGCUGAAACCAGCACAGAUCUGGCAAGCCAGCCACAGCUUGCCAGCCCUGGAUGCUGCCUGUGCCCCUCAACAUCUCCCUCAUUCCUGAAGAGAACAACCCCGGAGCAUCAGCUGCUUACCAGCAUCCACCUUAUUUACUAUUGAAAUAGCCCCGCACAGAGAAAACUUCCCCCCAGCCUCCCUCGGUGGGAACGAGUUCUAAUUGCUCAGAGGUGCAACGCACACACGGAGCCACCAUGUUGAUAUGAUCGCAAAGCCGGGGAACGUCAGCAUCCCAGAGACCCUCCUCCAACUGGGAUUAGAGACAAGAGGCUCAACAGCGCGGAGCAGCAGGUGCCGGAGGAGGCAGCCGGAGCCGCUCGCCAGGGGACCCUGGGAGUGGGGAGUAGCUGUGUCAAAAAGUUCUUCAUCGUUUGUGAAAUCUCAGUCAAUGAAAAGCAUCUGAACUCCGACACAAAGAAAGGCACUAAUUAAACACUGCAACGCUCCUGCUCCGGCAUGGAAAAAGCAAGCGCUGUGCAAGUGAAACAGCAGCCAUUCCUCAAGUCCUCUGAGGGCUGUGAAUAGCUGACCAGGCACAAAGCUGCUUCUCUACCCUCCCUGUUCCUGCCAGCCCCAAAAAGGACUCUUGCUGCAGACAGCUGAACUGGAGACACCUGAAUUCCCCAGCGGAGAAAAGCCAAAGCUCACUGGGAUGCUCUCAGAGAGAAGAGUUCCUUGACUUACACAGGGAGUUACAAUUCUUUUGUUUGCUUUGUUCACAGAGCCUUACGGGUCUUUUAAUCUUUUUAGGGGUUGGUUUUUUUUUUCCCCUCCCCCUGAUCACUUCAAAAAUCUAACUUGUGCAAUGGUGGGGGACAGGAGAGGUAGGUUAAAUGGUCCAUGCUGCCUCACAACCCGCUCUUUGGAACUAACCCACUUCUAAAUGAGAUAGCAGCUGCUUCUCACAGAAAAAAAGAGGGAAAAAAAGCUGUCACUUCUGGGCUAGCAAGGCUUUCAAUGACAUCUGAGG
rnacentral:lncRNA from 1 species